rnacentral:rRNA from 1 species
AAACGGAGGAUCCGAGCGUUAUCCGGAUUUAUUGGGUUUAAAGGGUGCGCAGGCGGCCAUUUAAGUCAGCGGUUAAAUCGUGGGGCUCAACCCCAUUCUGCCGUUGAUACUGGGUGGCUUGAUUGCUGUCGAGGUUGGCGGAAUUCGUUGUGUAGCGGUGAAAUGCAUAGAUAUGACGAAGAACACCGAUUGCGUAGGCAGCUGACCAGACCGCAAAUGACGCUCAUGCACGAAAGUGCGGGGAUCGAACAGGAUUAGAUACCCUGGUAGUCCGCACAGUAAACGAUGAAUACUUGUUUUCGGCGAUAUAAUGUCGGAGGCAAAGCGAAAGCGAUAAGUAUUCCACCUGGGGAGUACGCCGGCAACGGUGAAACUCAAAUGAAUUGACGGGG